GCGGGGGUAGCCGAGCAUGGACAAAGGCGCAGGACUUAAGAUCCUGUUCCGUAGGGAUACGAGGGUUCGAAUCCCUCCCCCCGCA
rnacentral:tRNA from 3 species